rnacentral:rRNA from 1 species
UCAACGGAGAGUUUGAUCCUGGCUCAGGACGAACGCUGGCGGCGUGCUUAACACAUGCAAGUCGAGCGGUAAGGCUCCUUCGGGAGUACACGAGCGGCGAACGGGUGAGUAACACGUGAGCAA